UGCAGUCGAACGGUGAACACGGAGCUUGCUCUGUGGGAUCAGUGGCGAACGGGUGAGUAACACGUGAGCAACCUGCCCCUGACUCUGGGAUAAGCGCUGGAAACGGCGUCUAAUACUGGAUAUGUGACGUGACCGCAUGGUCUGCGUUUGGAAAGAUUUUUCGGUUGGGGAUGGGCUCGCGGCCUAUCAGCUUGUUGGUGAGGUAAUGGCUCACCAAGGCGUCGACGGGUAGCCGGCCUGAGAGGGUGACCGGCCACACUGGGACUGAGACACGGCCCAGACUCCUACGGGAGGCAGCAGUGGGGAAUAUUGCACAAUGGGCGGAAGCCUGAUGCAGCAACGCCGCGUGAGGGAUGACGGCCUUCGGGUUGUAAACCUCUUUUAGCAGGGAAGAAGCGAAAGUGACGGUACCUGCAGAAAAAGCGCCGGCUAACUACGUGCCAGCAGCCGCGGUAAUACGUAGGGCGCAAGCGUUAUCCGGGAAUUAUUGGGCGUAAAGAGCUCGUAGGCGGUUUGUCGCGUCUGCUGUGAAAUCCCGAGGCUCAACCUCGGGCCUGCAGUGGGUACGGGCAGACUAGAGUGCGGUAGGGGAGAUUGGAAUUCUUGGUGUAGCGGUGGAAUGCGCAGAUAUCAGGAGGAACACCGAUGGCGAAGGCAGAUCUCUGGGCCGUAACUGACGCUGAGGAGCGAAAGGGUGGGGAGCAAACAGGCUUAGAUACCCUGGUAGUCCACCCCGUAAACGUUGGGAACUAGUUGUGGGGUCCAUUCCACGGAUUCCGUGACGCAGCUAACGCAUUAAGUUCCCCGCCUGGGGAGUACGGCCGCAAGGCUAAAACUCAAAGGAAUUGACGGGGACCCGCACAAGCGGCGGAGCAUGCGGAUUAAUUCGAUGCAACGCGAAGAACCUUACCAAGGCUUGACAUAUACGAGAACGGGCCAGAAAUGGUCAACUCUUUGGACACUCGUAAACAGGUGGUGCAUGGUUGUCGUCAGCUCGUGUCGUGAGAUGUUGGGUUAAGUCCCGCAACGAGCGCAACCCUCGUUCUAUGUUGCCAGCACGUAAUGGUGGGAACUCAUGGGAUACUGCCGGGGUCAACUCGGAGGAAGGUGGGGAUGACGUCAAAUCAUCAUGCCCCUUAUGUCUUGGGCUUCACGCAUGCUACAAUGGCCGGUACAAAGGGCUGCAAUACCGUGAGGUGGAGCGAAUCCCAAAAAGCCGGUCCCAGUUCGGAUUGAGGUCUGCAACUCGACCUCAUGAAGUCGGAGUCGCUAGUAAUCGCAGAUCAGCAACGCUGCGGUGAAUACGUUCCCGGGU
rnacentral:rRNA from 1 species